AUGAGUGUAUUUCGCCUCCCUGCCUCCACCUGCGAGGACCUCAUGCGGAUGAUUUGUAACUUCUACUGGGGAGUGGAAAAGGGCAAGAAGAAGAUGCAUUGGAAGGCAUGGACCCACCUGAUCAAACCAAAAGCACAAGGCGGACUCGGUUUCAGAGACCUACGGCUGUUCAACCAAGCGUUACUGGCACGACAAGCUUGGAGGCUGCUGUCCAACCCGGACAGCUUGUGCGCGCGGCUUCUAAAGGCGCGAUAUUACCCAGGCGAGCUGGAAGAUACGGUGUUCCCGGCGGGUGCAUCGGCUACGUGGCAAGGGGUGCAACAUGGGUUGGAAUUGCUGAAACGAGGGCUUAUCUAGCGUGUGGGGAACGGAGAGUCUAUUCACAUAUGGCGCGACAGCUGGAUCCCGAGAAACGGGACGACCAAACCUAUCACACCGCAAGGCCGAUGCAGACUAAGGCGGGUGGCGGAUCUCCUUGAAAAUCAUGGUGCUUGGAAGAUAGCCGUGGUAAACCAAGUCUUUUACCCGGUGGAUGCGGAGGAGAUUUUGAAGAUAAGAACGUCACCUCGCUUGGGCGAUGAUAUUAUUGCAUGGGCGCCGGAGAGGAGCGGCAUCUUCACGGUUCGGAGUGCUUAUCGACUGGCUCUGGAGGAUCGGUUGAGGCCUUCAUCUGUCGCGGCGAGCAAGGCACCAGACGGGCGACAGGCCGUCUGGUCUUUUAUAUGGAGGUGCCCUGCUCCUCCCAAGGUGCGCACCUUUGUUUGGAGACUCGUCACUGACUGUCUACCCACCUGGGUGAACAAGAAACGCCGGGGUCUCGAGGUUUCUGACUUAUGCCCUCUCUGUGCUUCCGAGCCGGAGGACACGUUUCACACGUUUUGCAGGUGCCCACAGGCGGUUGGGCUAUGGCAAGCCAUGGGAGAACACUAG
rnacentral:rRNA from 1 species